AACGAACGCUGGCGGCAUGCCUAACACAUGCAAGUCGAACGAGAUCUUCGGGUCUAGUGGCGCACGGGUGCGUAACGCGUGGGAAUCUGCCCUUUGGUUCGGAAUAACAGUUGGAAACGACUGCUAAUACCGGAUGAUGACGAAAGUCCAAAGAUUUAUCGCCAGAGGAUGAGCCCGCGUAGGAUUAGCUAGUUGGUGUGGUAAAGGCGCACCAAGGCGACGAUCCUUAGCUGGUCUGAGAGGAUGAUCAGCCACACUGGGACUGAGACACGGCCCAGACUCCGACGGGAGGCAGCAGUGGGGAAUAUUGGACAGUGGGCGAAAGCCUGAUCCAGCAAUGCCGCGUGAGUGAUGAAGGCCUUAGGGUUGUAAAGCUCUUUUACCCGGGAUGAUAAUGACAGUACCGGGAGAAUAAGCUCCGGCUAACUCCGUGCCAGCCGCCGCCGUAAGAC
rnacentral:rRNA from 1 species